rnacentral:rRNA from 1 species
GACGAACGCUGGCGGCGUGCUUAACACAUGCAAGUCGAACGGAAAGGCCCUGCUUUUGUGGGGUGCUCGCGUCGCGAACGGGUGAGUAACACGUGAGUCACCUGCCCUUGACUUUGGGAUAACUUCAGGCAACUGGGGAUACUACCGGAUAGGAGCUCCUGCUGCAUGGUGGGGGUUGGAACGUUUCGGCGGGUAGGGAUGGACUCGCGGCUUAUCAGCUUGUUGGUGGGGUAGUGGCUUACCCAGGCUUUGACGGGUAGCCGGCACGAGAGGGUGACCGGCCACAUGGGGACUGAGAUACGGACCAGACUCCUACGGGAGGCAGCAGUGGGGAAUAUUGCACAAUGGGCGGAAGCCUGAGGCAGCAACGCCGCGUGCGGGAUGACGGCCUUCGGGUGGGAAACCGCUUUCGCCUGUGACGAAGCGUGAGUGACGGUAAUGGGUAAAGAAGCACCGGCUAACUACGUG